rnacentral:SRP_RNA from 1 species
UCCGGACGUGGUGGCGCGCGCCUGUAGUCCCAGCUACUCGGGAGGCUGAGACGGGAGGAUCGCUUGAGCCAGGAGCUCUGGGCUGUAGUGCGCUAUGCCGAUCGGGUGUCCGCACUAAGUUCGGCAUCAAUAUGGUGACCUCCCGGGAGCGGGGGACCACCAGGUUGCCUAAGGAGGGGUGAACCGGCCCAGGUCGGAAACGGAGCAGGUCAAAACUCCCGUGCUGAUCAGUAGUGGGAUCGCGCCUGUGAAUAGCCACUGCACUCCAGCCUGGGCAACAUAGCGAGACCCCGUCUCU